CGGCGGACGGGUGAGUAACACGUGGAUAACCUACCUAUAAGACUGGGAUAACUUCGGGAAACCGGAGCUAAUACCGGAUAAUAUAUUGAACCGCAUGGUUCAAUAGUGAAAGACGGUUUUGCUGUCACUUAUAGAUGGAUCCGCGUCGCAUUAGCUAGUUGGUAAGGUAACGGCUUACCAAGGCAACGAUACGUAGCCGACCUGAGAGUGUGAUCGGCCACACUGGAACUGAGACACGGUCCAG
rnacentral:rRNA from 1 species